GGAAUAACUGUAUCAAUAAAACUAAAAAGAAAUUUCUUAAUAGGUGAAAAUUCCUUUAAUAAAUAUAAUAGACGAGAAGACCCUAAGAAUUAUAUAUUAAAAUUGUAAAUUUAUAAUAAAUUUUUGUUGGGGCAACAGAUUUGGUAAAAUCAAUAAUCUUUAAAAUUCACAUACUAAGUAUAUUUAAUAGGAAUUUAAUUACCUUAGGGAUAACAGCAUUAUUAAUAUAUUGGAUUGUGACCUCGAUGUUGGACUAGGGACUUUUGAAGUAAGCCAUUUUAAAAGAUUGUUCUGUUCGAACAUAGAAC
rnacentral:rRNA from 1 species